AUGGGCCUGCGUGCUUUUGUUGGCGUCAUGGACCUUGUAAUUGUUUGGGUUUAAUAGGAAAAAAGAGAGAAAGAAAAAAUGUGCUAAGACCAUCCUUAUUCAUGGGUUCUUAAUAAAAUUCUUAACAU
rnacentral:sRNA from 1 species